UACAGAGGCCUCGAGCGUUAGGCGGAAUCACUGGGCUUAAAGCGUGUGUAGGCGGCCUUCUAAGUACCUUGUGAAAUCCCACGGCUCACCCGUGGAACUGCUUGGUAUACUGGUUGUCUUGAGCCUUCUAGGGGCGAGUGGAACAAAUGGUGGAGCGGUGAAAUGCGUAGAUAUCAUUUGGAACGCCAAUGGUGAAAACAACUCGCUGGGGAAGUGCUGACGCUGAGACACGAAAGCCAGGGGAGCGAACGGG
rnacentral:rRNA from 1 species